AGUGCGAUCGGUGGAUGCCUUGGCACCAAGAGCCGAUGAAGGACGUUGUGACCUGCGAUAAGCCCUGGGGAGUUGGUGAGCGAGCUGUGAUCCGGGGGUGUCCGAAUGGGGAAACCUGGAAUGUCCGGAGUAGUGUCCGGUGGCCCUGCCCUGAAUGUAUAGGGGUGUGGGUGGUAACGCGGGGAAGUGAAACAUCUUAGUACCCGUAGGAAGAGAAAACAAGUGUGAUUCCGUGAGUAGUGGCGAGCGAAAGCGGAGGAGGCUAAACCGUGUGUGUGUUCAAGCCGGCAGGUGUUGCAUGUGCGGGGUUGUGGGGGCCUUGUGGUUCUGCUGCCGCAGGAUUGGCCAGUGAGAAAUGUUGCGUGAAGGUGAAGCGUCUGGGAAGGCGUACCGGAGUGGGUGAGAGUCCUGUAACUGUAAGCGUGGCACUGGUGUGGGGUUGCCCCGAGUAGCGUGGGACUCGUGGAAUUUCGCGUGAAUCUGGCGGGACCACCCGUCAAGCCUAAAUACUCCUUGGUGACCGAUAGUGGAUGAGUACCGUGAGGGAAGGGUGAAAAGUACCCCGGGAGGGGAGUGAAAGAGUUCCUGAAACCGGUCGCAUGCAAGCCGUCAGAGCCUGUGUGGUGAUGGCGUGCCUUUUGAAGAAUGAGCCUGCGAGUUAGUGAUGCGUGGCGAGGUUAACCCGUGGUGGGGGAGUCGUAGCGAAAGCGAGUCCGAUAAGGGCGUGAGUCGCGUGUUCUAGACCCGAAGCGGUGUGAUCUAUCCAUGGCCAGGAUGAAGCGUCGGUAAGACGUCGUGGAGGUCCGAACCCACUUCAGUUAAAAAUGGAGGGGAUGAGUUGUGGAUAGGGGUGAAAGGCCAAUCAAACACCGUGAUAGCUGGUUCUCCCCGAAAUGCAUUUAGGUGCAGCGUUGCGUGGUUCUUGUUGGAGGUAGAGCACUGGAUGGUCUAGGGGGCUUAUCGGCUUACCGAAAUCAGCCAAACUCCGAAUGCUGGCAAGUGUAGCGUGGCAGUGAGACGGCGGGGGAUAAGCUUCGUCGUCGAGAGGGAAACAGCCCAGAUCAUCAGCUAAGGCCCCUAAGUGGUGACUCAGUGGGAAAGGAUGUGGAGUUGCGUAGACAACCAGGAGGUUGGCUUGGAAGCAGCCAUCCUUGAAAGAGUGCGUAAUAGCUCACUGGUCAAGUGAUUCCGCGCCGAUAAUGUAGCGGGGCUUAAGUUAUCCGCCGAAGCUGUGGCAACCUGUGUGGUUGGGUAGGGGAGCGUCGUGUCAGUGGUGAAGCUGCCGGGUGACUGUGUGGUGGAGUUGAUGCGAGUGAGAAUGCAGGCAUGAGUAGCGUGUGACGGGUGGGAAUCCCGUCCGCCGAUUAUCCAAGGGUUCCAGGGUCAAGUUUGUCUGCCCUGGGUGAGUCGGGUCCUAAGGCGAGGCCGACAGGCGUAGUCGAUGGGUAACCAGUUGAUAUUCUGGUACCGGCUUGUCACCGUCCGUGUCGUGGUGUGUGAUGCUAAGCAUGUGAGCUUGUCUUGGGAGUGUUUUUGAUGCUUCUGGGGUGGGUGAGUGUGUGAACCGAUCAUGUAGUAGGCAAGCUGCGGAGGGACGCAGUGAGGUAGCUCAUCCCCGGUGAUGGUUGUCCGGGGCUAAGUGUGUGGACUGUCUGGUAGGUAAAUCCGCUGGGCGUGAAGGUUGAGGCAUGAUGGGGAGCCCAUGGUUGUGGGUGAGUGAGUGAUCCUGUACUGUCGAGAAAAGCUUCGUGAGCGAGGUGGCGGGUCCGCCCGUACCCUAAACCGACACUGGUGGAUAGGUAGAGUAUACCGAGGCGAUCGAGUGAAUCGUGGUGAAGGAACUCGGCAAAAUGCCCCCGUAACUUUGGGAUAAGGGGGACCUGAGCUGUCGUGCACCCGUGCGGUGUGGUGGCGGUGAGGGGCGCAGAGUCCAGGGGGAAACGACUGUUUACCAAAAACACAGGUCCGUGCGAAGUCGUAAGACGAUGUAUACGGACUGACUCCUGCCCGGUGCUGGAAGGUUAAGGGAAACUGUGAGUGUAUGCGUAGCGGUGAACUUAAGCCCCAGUAAACGGCGGUGGUAACUAUAACCAUCCUAAGGUAGCGAAAUUCCUUGUCGGUUAAGUUCCGACCUGCACGAAUGGCGUAACGAUUUCCCUACUGUCUCCACCAUGAACUCGGUGAAAUUGCAUUACGAGUAAAGAUGCUCGUUACGCGCAGCAGGACGGA
rnacentral:rRNA from 1 species